CUCGUAGGCGGCCAACUAAGUCACACGUGAAAUCCCCAGGCUUAACCUGGGAACUGCGUGUGAUACUGGAUGGCUUGAAUUCGGGAGAGGGAUGCAGAAUUCCAGGUGUAGCGGUGAAAUGCGUAGAUAUCUGGAGGAAUACCGGUGGCGAAGGCGGCAUCCUGGACCGACAUUGACGCUGAGGAGCGAAAGCUAGGGGAGCAAACG
rnacentral:rRNA from 1 species